AGUGUGGUUAAACGCGCAAGAGAAUUGCAAAAACAAGAACACAAUCACCUGCCGUAUAUUUAUUUAUUUUUUUUUAUUUAAUAAUAUGUCUGAGAGGAAGUCUUCACGAAAAUGCCCAUGUGCAUUUUGGUUUCAAUCAUUUGUGAUUUAUAAAGUGCCAGAAAAACUGACAAAGGUUCGAAACCUAGUCUUGAAACGCGAGGGAAUGAAAACGUCACAUGUGCCAGUAUGCAUUUUUCAACUCUCCAGCUGUUAAAAUGUGUCACGGUAUUCCGUGUUAACAAUACUUUUAGUAUUGAAAACAACGAGUAAGAAGCGGUAGAGUGGUGCACAUUCUAUUAUCCGUCACAGCAUUUCUUGGGAAUUCUUCUCCCUCCACCCGCCGUCCAAAGUCUUGUAUCGUUGUCUGGCAACAACUGAUCUGUUGGUUGGUGUUGUUGCCCAGCCUCUCCAUGCUACUUUGAAGCUCUUGGCUCCCUGGACUCUUGAAGACUAGAAGAUUAUACGUUACGUAAAUAAAGCGGUCUAUAUACAUCACAA